UCAAAGAAGCUGCUAAUUUGAGCUUGGAUGCCUCGGCCCUUAUCACUUCCAAUGGAGUUCUCCAGCUGACCAAUGACAGCAAGAGACAGAUAGGUCAUGCUUUUCUUUCUUCUCCGGUGCACAUGCUUCACAACCGAUCCGUUGCCGCCUCAUUCAGCACGGCCUUCGUGUUCGACAUCGUCACUGUUAAUGGCAGUGGCGGCGAUGGCCUGGCCUUUGUUGUUGCCACCUCCAAAACCCUGCCUGGAGCUCAGAAUGGCCAGUUCCUUGGACUCCUCAGCACCCAGAACAAUGGCAAUAUCUCCAAUCAUCUCUUUGCCAUAGAAUUCGACACGGUGAAGGCCAUUGGACCAUUCACUGACAUCGAUGAGAACCAUGUCGGUGUGGAUGUCAACAGCCUCGAAUCAAAUGUCUCAAAGUCCGCCGCCUAUUACGCAGAUGGUGGCAAGAAGGUGUCGGUAGAUCUGCUGAGCGCGCAACCAAUCCAGGCCUGGAUCGACUACAACGGUGUCACAAGCAUUCUGAACGUGACCAUCGCUCCGCUGCCGCUCCCCAGACCACGCCGCCCUCUCAUAUCGCACGCCAUCGAUCUAUCGCCAAUUUUCAAGGAGUAUAUGUACGUUGGGUUCUCCGCCGCUACCGGAAAGCUCACAAGCUACCACUAUAUCAUGGGUUGGAGCUUCAGCACGGAUGGAGUCGCGUCGAGCCUCGAUCUAUCUCAGCUGCCCCUUCCACCAAGGCAAAAGGAAGCAUCACCAGCUUCAAAAGCUAGUAUACUGAAGACCGCAGUGUUGUCUUCCAUUGUGACGCUGCUCUUUAUAGUGCUUGUGAUCUCCAUUUUCAUGUACUUAAGGAAGCAAGCGAAACUGUCUGAGAACCUCGAGGACUGGGAGUCGUAUUACCCCCACAGGUUCCCAUAUAAGGAGCUCUACAAAGCAACCAAAGGGUUCCAAGAUACGGAGCUCCUCGGCUCGGGAGGCUUUGGCCAAGUCUACAGGGGCACUCUGCGGCGCACCGGAGAAGUGGUCGCCGUAAAGAAGAUCUCCAGCAAUUCAAGACAAGGAGUAAGAGAGUUCAUAGCCGAGAUCUCAAGUUUAGGCCGGAUGAGGCACAGGAACUUGGUGCAGCUCCAAGGAUGGUGCAAGCGGAACGAGGACCUCCUCCUCGUCUACGACUUCAUGCCCAAUGGGAGCCUCGACGCCUUCCUCUACGACCACGACAAGAGCCAGCAACUGAGUUGGAACCACAGGUUCAAGAUCCUCAAGGACAUAGCUUUCGGCCUCCUCUACCUGCACGAAGAAUGGGAGCAAGUGGUCGUCCACAGAGACAUCAAGUCCAACAACGUGCUACUGGACGCCGACAUGAACGCAAGGCUGGGUGAUUUCGGCCUCGCCAGACUGCACGAGCACGGAGAGAAUCCUCACACAACCCAUGUCUAGGAUAAAAAGAGGAAUAACCUUUGUAUAGGAACAAAUACUAGAAGACCAAAAUACGCAGCGGAAUAAAAUGGAAACACAAUCAAACAGAACACCAAGAUAUACGUGGAAAACCCCUUCAAUGUGAAGGGUAAAAACCACGGGGCAAACUAGAGAUAAUCCACUAUGAGAAUAAUGAAUAUAUAAAUNNNNNNNNNNNNNNNNNNNNAUCCGUGACAACAUGGAGGACAAACUACUGGAGGUUGUGGAUCCACGACUGGGCGGGUUGUACCCGGAGCAGGAGAUCAAGCUGGUGCUGAGGCUUGGGCUGCUUUGCUCUCAGUCCAUCCCUGAAGCGCGGCCAACCAUGAGUCAGGUGACGCGGUAUCUCGACGGCACCGACGGCCUGACAGAUGAUGUUGCGUUUGUGUUCUCAGAAGCCGAUUCAAUGGAUUUGGCAUCUCGGCUGUCGAUCACUUCAUCUUGGAGUGGUAUGGGCUCUCGGUCACUCCAUUAAGGGAACUGACAAAGAUCUUGUGGUCAACGGCACCCACAGGGGCUGGGUCUCAUAAGAUGGGCUACGCGGGCUGAAACAGACCGCAGGGCCUCGACGAUGCAAUAUGGGCUGGACCGCAGGGUCUCGACGAUGCAUACUGGGCCGGUUCACGCGAGCUAAGGUCUCCUGAGUUGGUCCAUACGGAUUGAAUAUUUAUUUACAGAAGUAGAUAGGCUAGUAUUGAUUGGAUAAUUUCCGAUAAUUAGAGGAAUAUCAAUUAUGAUGAUUAAAUAAUUUUUUAGUUCAAUUUUGAAAAUAUAAUAUUAGUUUCCUCCAUUAGGAAAUAAAGAACUUAUAUUAUGAAGUAUUGUAUCUCUGUUUACUAAUGAGAGCAUAAAUCUAUCAUGUAUCCAUCUACGCUAUAGUGAUUAGUGUGAAUACAUACUUAUAUUAUUUUAUAUAAGAGCAUGAACGAUAUUUAUCAAAUGUCUAAUUUAUAUACCAAUGCUUCAUGAGAUGUAUGCUCAUGACUGAUCAAAUUUAUAAAUGAUAUUACAUGAAUGCAUAUUGUAUGACUUGAUCCUUGAAUCAUAUACUUUUUUUGUACCACUAUAUAUAUUGAUAUUUGCCUUAUAUAUCAUAUACAUAGCUGAUCAUGUGCAUGGUUUUUGACUAACAUAUUAUUGUGGAUCUUUCCUAUAUUUUAGUUUGUGGAUAAAGACUUAAAUCGAUACGAACUACAAUAUUAUUAAUUUGGAUUUAAAGAUCUUAAGCAUUUUGGGUUGGGAGUUUAUGCCUUAAACCUUAUGAUUCAUUAACUUAAAACUUAUCACAAAUCAAGUGAAAAUAUGGUCAUUUGAUUUUUCUUAUAUUCUUUCAUGGUUUCCCUUUCAUACAUUUCACAUCUGAAAUGAAAUGUUGGUCUCUUUGGCUUCCAGCUACCAUAUAAAACAAGUGUUCUGCAGGAUUCCAAUUUAUUCACAGGAGCACCAAACCUGUCUCGAGUGCAAAACAAGACAAUACAAUAGUUUUUGUUUAUGAUAAUUUGAUGCCUUCGCUUAGCUUUUAGUUCCAUUUUUCUUAUACUCUUGUCCAAGAUUAGGUGAAUUGUCUCUGAGCUGUACUUCUUUUUCCCUCGUUUAUAAUAAUUUGAUGCCAUCACUUAGCUUUUAGUUCCAUUUUUUUUUAAAUUAUUACCAACAGUGCUAAUAAUUGUUGCUGGUCUUUUCUGCAGAAUCUUGCGGAAGAUACAAUCUGGAUAAUUGACUAUGAGUUGUGGACACUGUUGAUUGCUUCAGCAUUAAGGAAGCAAGCAAAUGUCUACAUCAUGACAUGGAGAUCCAUAUUGUCAUGCAUCCUGGUCAAUCGUAAAACAUCAUAGUUUGACAAGUCCUACAUAAUCCCACAUCGAGAAAAACUCAAGCUUGUUAUCUCCUGUUAUAACUAUAAAUAAGGGUCUGGGUAUUGAAGCCAGAUACACCACAAGAAAAAUAUAAUUGUUUGUUUUAGAUUUAAUUUCUAUUAAGUCCGUUAAAAUAGUUUGGAUUUUUCUUGUUUAGUAGUUUCAUAUGUUUUAGGUAAUUUCUAAGGUAUUUAUAGUUGUCCUUUUAUAGUAGAGUUUUGCUCCUCCUCAUUACUUCUUUAUUUUUUUUUGCUUUAUUAUCUUUAUUAGGUUGUCAAAUUAUCCUUGGUAAAUUUUCAAGGGCAACUGAAAGCUCCCCUUCCACAUCUUUUUCUCCUCCUCCUCUCCAUCUAUUCUCCAACUCUGGCCACCAAGUUCCUCUUUAAUGGGUUCAAAGAAGCUGCUAAUUUGAGCUUGGAUGCCUCGGCCCUUAUCACUUCCAAUGGAAUUCUCCAGCUGACCAAUGGCAGCAAGAGACAGAUAGGUCAUGCCUUUCUUUCUUCUCCGGUGCACAUGCUUCACAGACGAUCCGUUGUCACCUCAUUCAGCACAGCCUUCGUGUUCGAAAUCGUCACUGUUAAUGGCGGUGGCGGCGAAGGCCUGGCCUUUGUGGUUGCCACCUCCAAAACCCUGCCUGGAGCUCAGAAUGGCCAGUUCCUUGGACUCCUCAGCACCCAGAACAAUGGCAAUUUCUCCAAUCAUCUCUUUGCCAUAGAAUUCGACACGGUGAAGGCCACUGGACCAUUCAAUGACAUCGAUAAGAACCAU
rnacentral:lncRNA from 1 species